rnacentral:lncRNA from 10 species
GGCUAUGGUUCUAGUUCACUGCUGUGAUCACUUCACUCCAGCUGCCAGAGUAUCCCGCUGACCCCAUUCUUUGCAGUGGAGUUGUGAUGUUGCAGAAUCAUAAUUCUCUACCAGCUGCUUAUUUUAGAGUCAUCUGGGUCUGGGGAUGGUUCUGGACAAAAAUACAAAUUUGGAGACCCAUCACUGGUUUGUAGGAUCAGUGAGAUCAUGAAAACUAGAAGUAAUUUCAACGCGACUUUUUUUAUUUACUUUGGAAAUGGUUCAGUUGGACACAUGAGUGAUAAGAGGUGGACAUUUCAAGUUCAAUUGUGUUUGAUGACUCAUUAGGUUAAAGAAGCUGUCAGGUGGUAAAGUCACCCCAGAGAAAUGAAGGGUAUUCUCCAGAAAGUGUGGAAACCCUGCCACUGCAGGCUAAUCAGGUUGUUAAUAAAUAUACCAGAGAAUAAUGGUCCUGCUAUUGAUGGAUCCCAAGGGAGAAUUCCUAUUAAUCACUUCAAUCUUAGGGAGCACAAAGGAAAGGCCAUGCGAGGACACAGGGAGAAGACAGGCCCCUACCAGUCAGGAAGGGAGCCCUCACCAGAAACUGAGCUGGCCAGCACAAUGGUCUUGGACUUGUAGCUCCAGAACUGUGAGGAAAUAAAUUUCUGUUGUUGAAGCCACCCAGUCUGUGAUUUUUUUUAUGGCAGUACUAGCAGAUUGAUAUACCUUCCAUCUAGUUGCCUGAAAA